rnacentral:rRNA from 1 species
GAUGAACGCUGGCGGCGUGCCUAAUACAUGCAAGUCGAGCGAACAGAUGAGGAGCUUGCUCCUCUGACGUUAGCGGCGGACGGGUGAGUAACACGUGGAUAACCUACCUAUAAGACUGGGAUAACUUCGGGAAACCGGAGCUAAUACCGGAUAAUAUAUUGAACCGCAUGGUUCAAUAGUGAAAGACGGUUUUGCUGUCACUUAUAGAUGGAUCCGCGCCGCAUUAGCUAGUUGGUAAGGUAACGGCUUACCAAGGCAACGAUGCGUAGCCGACCUGAGAGGGUGGACGGCCACACUGGAACUGAGACACGGUCCAGACUCCUACGGGAGGCAGCAGUAGGGAAUCUUCCGCAAUGGGCGAAAGCCUGACGGAGCAACGCCGCGUGAGUGAUGAAGGUCUUCGGAUCGUAAAACUCUGUUAUUAGGGAAGAACAAAUGUGUAAGUAACUAUGCACGUCUUGACGGUACCUAAUCAGAAAGCCACGGCUAACUACGUG